CUUGUCAGGUAGCAAUUCUGCGAUGAAGUUUUCUACUGACACAGCAAUCUGUUUUUCAUGGAUCACUCCAGUUCGACGCAAACUAUCUAUCCGUUCCUGAGCGCCCUGAAUGACAAAGGCACAGCCUUAAAAUAAGCACCAAAAUGACGGCUGAUGUAUUUUUAACUGCAAAUGGAUAUACUGCACCAAGAUUUAUUCAGGAAAAUACCAUUUAUGCAACAAAACUGAGGGGCUGACAACGCUACAUAACUCAGUAUCAUCAAUACAUAUCUUACGAUACAAAACUACAAGUUAACAAUAAGACUGCUGUUUACCUACUUUCAUCUGAAUUACUUCAUAAACAGUGAUAAGGGAAGUGACAGGAAAUGUCUAAAAAGUUAGACAAAUGUGUUCUAAUUUUUAAUAAAACUUGCCAUGGAGAAUACAUUAACCUAUUUUUACUAUGGGUAACAGAGCUAAGUAGUGAUUAAGAAAAAGUGGUCAAUUCUUAUCAAAUGAAAAUUUAAAAGCAAGAGCACUUCUAGAGACAACUGAACUGCUUUUAGAGACAACAGAAAUAAAGAAACCGAUAACUACAAGAAAAUGGAUAAAUCAAUUUAAGACGUUAGCUUAUAAAGAUGGAUGAAAGAAUGUAUGAACAAAACUGUAAUAGUAUCAAGACUGUAUUUUUGCUUACUCUUAUCUCUCCAGUACCUCACAUAGUGUCGAACUACAUGAAAAAAUAAAGGAAGAAAUAAAGGGUUUCUUAAAAAUUUUUAUCACUCA